rnacentral:rRNA from 1 species
GACGAACGCUGGCGGCGUGCUUAACACAUGCAAGUCGAACGGAAAGGCCCUGCUUUUGUGGGGUGCUCGAGUGGCGAACGGGUGAGUAACACGUGAGUAACCUGCCCUUGACUUUGGGAUAACUUCAGGAAACUGGGGCUAAUACCGGAUAGGAGCUCCUGCUGCAUGGUGGGGGUUGGAAAGUUUCGGCGGUUGGGGAUGGACUCGCGGCUUAUCAGCUUGUUGGUGGGGUAGUGGCUUACCAAGGCUUUGACGGGUAGCCGGCCUGAGAGGGUGACCGGCCACAUUGGGACUGAGAUACGGCCCAGACUCCUACGGGAGGCAGCAGUGGGGAAUAUUGCACAAUGGGCGGAAGCCUGAGGCAGCAACGCCGCGGGCGGGAUGACGGCCCUCGGGUUGUAAACCGCUUUCGCCUGUGAGGAAGCGUGAGUGACGGUAAUGGGUAAAGAAGCACCGGCUAACUACGUG